ACUACACCCUCCCCCGCCCACCGCCUCAGCAACCAACCUCCAGGGAGGGGAAAGGGGGCAGAAGUUUGAGUUAAUAACUAAUAGCUAAAGAUGUAAACAAUAAGCCUCCAUAAAACCCCAAAAGGACUGGACUGGUUUCUGAGAGCUUCCAGGUUGUUGAGCACGUGGAGGUUCUGGGAGGGUCCACACCCAGAGAAGGCAUGGAAGCUGACCCCUUCCCCAUACCUUGCUCUUUGCAUCUCUUCCAUUUGGCUGUUCCCGAGUUGUAUACUUUGUAAUAAGUGGGAUUUCCACCCAACAACAAUUCAGCCACACUGCUUCACACAUCUAGAAUCCAUCCAAAAUUGUAAAGGCUUUGUGGCACUACAGUGAAACAGGCAAGAACAUCUUCCAAACAUCCAGCACAAGAGCACACAGGAGGCCGGCAUAAUCACGAAUUGCAGCUGUCUGAAGGGCAGUCACAUAAAAGAGGAGAAGCUUCACCUUUGCUUCACAAGGCACAUCUUGAACCAGGGAUGGAAAUUACAGAGAGGCCAAAACCAGCUCGGUGUGAGCAGGACUGGUAACAGACUGGCCAAGCAACAGAAGGGGCUGCCCUGUGAAGAAGCAAGCUCUCUGUCAAUGGGAGGUGCAAGCUGAGCCUGCACUACCUUUUGUCACGGUUGCUAUGGAAAAGAUUAAGAGCCCGGGCUGCUUGAGUGUCUGCAUGACAUGGCAGCUGGCUCCCUGAAGAGCACGUGAUCCGAAAGAGAGAGCAAGACAGAAGCGCAGUGUCUUCAACAGCAUAUCUUUGAAAGUCAUAUUCCACCGUUUUCACUACAUUCUAUUGAUAAGGCCUGGCUGUUCCCACCUCAAACCACUUCUUAGCUUCAUUUGUUCUCAUAACAACAGGAUAGCCCUUCCUCCUCUGGGGGCCUGGGCAUCAGCAAGUCGGAUGGCAGUGGAAGGUGGAGAAAUGGAAUCCUGCUGGGGGCUCAGGAGGCCUGCCCCCUGAUGCUGCCGUGCACUGCAGAUGUCCUUGAUGAAGAGAAUGAAUGGAAGUGCCAGAAAGCCUUUAACAUAUUGGGUCCGGUCUAGAUUUGUAAGGAAGUAUGGCUGAAUUGUUAUCGGGUGGAUACAGUUUACAUGUUUAAAGCUGUCUUUCUCAAUGGCAAAAGGGCAUACUGCUGUUAUUGUCAGUGAGGGGUCAGUAGUUUAAAUGAUGAAACUCUGGGGAUCAGCGUAAAGUAAACCAACAUACUGCAUGUAAGUAUCAAGUAAAUGAGCAGAGACAGCCCCUGGUUUACAAACACCUGACUUAAGCAUCGUCCAUCCUACAGGACAGGGAAGGAGGAAGAAGCUUCGAGAGGCUGGAACAGUUGAGGGAGCGCUGACACGGUAAAGGCCACUUUGCUCAUCAUCACCAGGCGUGCUGCCGAAAAUUUCCACUCUGUUUACUCCCAAGACCUUACUCCUACUAUGUGGAGACACAUUUGAAUAAAAAAUUGGCCUCUUUUCAAAGUCAAAA
rnacentral:lncRNA from 1 species